rnacentral:rRNA from 1 species
UACGGGGGGAGCAAGCGUUGUUCGGAUUUACUGGGCGUAAAGGGCGCGUAGGCGGCGCAACAAGUCACUUGUGAAAUCUCCGGGCUUAACCCGGAGCGGUCAAGUGAUACUGUCGUGCUAGAGUGCGGAAGGGGCUACUGGAAUUCUCGGUGUAGCGGUGAAAUGCAUAGAUAUCGAGAGGAACACCUGCGGCGAAGGCGGGUAGACUGGGCCGACACUGACGCUGAUGCGCGAAAGCCAGGGAGCGAAACGGG